ACGAACGCUGGCGGCGCGCUUCACCCAUGCCAGUCGAACGGAAAGGCCCUGCUUUUGUGGGGUGCUCGAGUGGCGAACGGGUGAGUAACACGUGAGUAACCUGCCCUUGACUUUGGGAUAACUUCAGGAAACUGGGGCUAAUACCGGAUAGGAGCUCCUGCUGCAUGGUGGGGGUUGGAAAGUUUCGGCGGUUGGGGAUGGACUCGCGGCUUAUCAGCUUGUUGGUGGGGUAGUGGCUUACCAAGGCUUUGACGGGUAGCCGGCCUGAGAGGGUGACCGGCCACAUUGGGACUGAGAUACGGCCCAGACUCCUACGGGAGGCAGCAGUGGGGAAUAUUGCACAAUGGGCGGAAGCCUGAUGCAGCAACGCCGCGUGCGGGAUGACGGCCUUCGGGUUGUAAACCGCUUUCGCCUGUGACGAAGCGUGAGUGACGGUAAUGGGUAAAGAAGCACCGGCUAACUACGUG
rnacentral:rRNA from 1 species